CCCUAUGGGGUGCAGCAGGCGCGAAAACUUUACAAUGCGGGAAACCGUGAUAAGGGGACACCGAGUGCCAGCAACAUUUGUUGGCUGUCCAGGUGUGUAAACUACACCUGUUAGCAAGGGCCGGGCAAGACCGGUGCCAGCCGCCGCGGUAACACCGGCGGCCCGAGUGGUGAUCGUGAUUAUUGGGUCUAAAGGGUCCGUAGCCGGUUUGGUCAGUCCUCCGGGAAAUCUGACGGCUUAACCGUUAGGCUUUCGGGGGAUACUGCCAGGCUUGGAACCGGGAGAGGUAAGAGGUACUACAGGGGUAGGAGUGAAAUCUUGUAAUCCCUGUGGGACCACCUGUGGCGAAGGCGUCUUACCAGAACGGGUUCGACGGUGAGGGACGAAAGCUGGGGGCACGAACCGGAUUAGAUACCCGGGUAGUCCCAGCCGUAAACGAUGCUCGCUAGGUGUCAGGCAUGGCGCGACCGUGUCUGGUGCCGCAGGGAAGCCGUGAAGCGAGCCACCUGGGAAGUACGGCCGCAAGGCUGAAACUUAAAGGAAUUGGCGGGGGAGCACAACAACGGGUGGAGCCUGCGGUUUAAUUGGAUUCAACGCCGGAA
rnacentral:rRNA from 1 species